rnacentral:rRNA from 1 species
AGUGAACGCUGGCGGUAUGCCUAACACAUGCAAGUCGAACGGCAGCACAGUAAGAUCUUGCUCUUGCGGUUGGCGAGUGGCGGACGGGUGAGGAAUACAUCGGAAUCUACUUUUUCUUGGGUGAUAACGUAGGGACACUUACGCUAAUACCUCAUACUACCUACGGCUUAAAUCAAGAGAUCUUCACACCUUGCCCGACUCUAUGAGCCGAUGUCGGAUUAGCUAGUUGGCGGGGUAAAGGCCCACCAAGGCGACGAUGCGUAGCUGGUCUGAGAGGAUGAUCAGCCACACUGGAACUGAGGCACGGUCCAGACUCCUACGGGAGGCAGCAGUGGGGAAUCUUGGGCAAUGGGCGAAAGCCUGAUGCAGCAAUGCCGCGUGGGUGAAGAAGGUCUUCGGGUUGUAAAGCUCUGUUGUUGGGGAAGAAAAGCAGUAGAAUAAACCCCGGAUGUCUUGACGGUACCUAAAGAGUAAGCAACGGCUAACUUCGUG